rnacentral:rRNA from 1 species
GAGUUUGAUCCUGGCUCAGGACGAACGCUGGCGGCGCGCCUAACACAUGCAAGUCGAACGAGAGAGAAGGAGCUUGCUUCUUCGAUCGAGUGGCGAACGGGUGAGUAACGCGUGAGGAACCUGCCUCAAAGAGGGGGACAACAGUUGGAAACGACUGCUAAUACCGCGUAAGCCCACGGGUCGGCAUCGAUCUGAGGGAAAAGGAGUGAUCCGCUUUGAGAUGGCCUCGCGUCCGAUUAGCUAGUUGGUGAGGUAACGGCCCACCAAGGCGACGAUCGGUAGCCGGACUGAGAGGUUGAACGGCCACAUUGGGACUGAGACACGGCCCAGACUCCUACGGGAGGCAGCAGUGGGGAAUAUUGCACAAUGGGGGAAACCCUGAUGCAGCGACGCCGCGUGGAGGAAGAAGGUCUUCGGAUUGUAAACUCCUGUCGUUAGGGACGAUAAUGACGGUACCUAACAAGAAAGCACCGGCUAACUACGUGCCAGCCGCCGCGGUAAUAC